rnacentral:tRNA from 1 species
AGGACUCUAGGUUAAAUUAAACUUUUGGCUUUCAAAUCCAAAGAUCGGCAGUUCAA